rnacentral:tRNA from 1 species
GGCCUCGUAGCUCAGUUGGUGGAGCGCGCUCUGUAGAAAAAGCUUAGGCAACGUCCAUGCGUGAGUUCGAAUCCCACUGAGGUUA